UAUGUUUCUCUCUCCUUCGUAACUCAUCUGAAAUCUGAUUUUCUCUUUUUCCUCCAAACUCAAUCUCUUCAUUUUCUCUGUCAAUUCUGAUUUCGAUCUCUUUCUUGGUUAGGGAAAUCCUCCUCCAAGUCCAACUUCUCCGGCCGCCAAUUGACCGGCUUCGGUUUCGGCAGACCCAAGACAACAACCUCCUCCUCCUGCCACAGCUCCGCUGCAGAAGAAGCCCUCCAGAGCCUUGAUUUCGAGCUUCGAAGCCAAGCUCUGCGGCUCCAACUAAACCAGAGCAGUUGUUGGAGAGGGUACUGAACCAUUGGUCUAGAACAUUGGUGUAAAGCAUAUUUUAUUUCCUUCUAUUCUCGUUUCAUUAUUCUGGCGUGGGUUUUUGUAUGUCAAUGUCAUUGUAGAUGCUUCAGAAGCAGAGGAAUUCAGUGAAUUGGCUUCAAAGGCCCUGAACUCACUUCCUUAUGAUUCGCCUGGUCAAGCCUUUGUUGCUUUUGAGAAACCCGCGGGUGUCCCUGCUGUUGGAAAGUUUUCUAACACAUUAACUUUUGUUGUUAAGGAGGUUGACCUAAGCACAUGCGAAGCAGAGGACGAUGGGCUAGAAGAUGAGUAUCAGCUGGAGGAUCUUGAGGUUGUAGCUGCAGAUUACAUGGUGAAGGUGAGCGUCUCCAAUUUCAGGAAUGCAUGGGAAAGCAUGAAUGAA